rnacentral:rRNA from 1 species
UACAGAGGUCCCGAGCGUUGUUCGGAUUCACUGGGCGUAAAGGGUGCGUAGGUGGUUAGGUAAGUCCGAUGUGAAAUCUCCAGGCUCAACCUGGAAAUGGCAUUGGAUACUAUUUAGCUUGAGGAGUGGAGGGGGGACUGGAAUUCUCGGCGUAGCAGUGAAAUGCGUAGAUAUCGAGAGGAACACCAGUGGCGAAGGCGAGUCCCUGGACACUUCCUGACACUGAGGCACGAAAGCUAGGGGAGCAAACAGG